UAAGCGAAGGGGAGACGGAUCUGAACAGCCAUGUAGCGUGAAUGAUGACUGCCUUAUGGUUUGUAAACUUCUUUUAUAAGGAAAUAAAGUGAGGGACGUGUCCCUUUUUGUAUGGACCUUAUGAAUAAAGAUCGGCUAACUCCGUGCCAGCAGCCGCGGUAAUAUAAU
rnacentral:rRNA from 1 species